rnacentral:rRNA from 1 species
UACGGAGGGGGCGAGCGUUAUUCGGAAUUAUUGGGCGUAAAGGGCGCGUAGGCGGCGCGAUAAGUCAGAGGUGAAAUCCCUCGGCUCAACUGAGGAACUGCCUUUGAGACUGUCGAGCUUGAGGCCGGGAGGGGGUAGCGGAAUUCCCAGUGUAGCGGUGAAAUGCGUAGAUAUUGGGAGGAACACCAGUGGCGAAGGCGGCUACCUGGACCGGUACUGACGCUGAUGCGCGAAAGCUAGGGGAGCGAACGGG